rnacentral:rRNA from 1 species
AUGGAGCAAGUGUCAUGGUGGGUUCGAGGCUUCCUCGGCAAGUACCCGGAGAUCAUGGUGUCGUUCGCUUGCUUCCUGUUCCUGUUGUUCUUCAGGUAUCGCCGGCGGGACGGGCUGCCGACCAACUGGCCGGUGGUCGGCUCGGUGCCGGCGAUCAGUGUCAACGCCGGCCGCGUGCACGAGUGGCUCACGGAGUUCCUGCGCGUGGCGCCGGGGAUGUCGCACGUCGCCAGGGGCCCGUGGGGCUCGCCCGUGGACGUCCUAAUCACGGCCAACCCGGCGGACGUGGCGCAUGUCUUCACGACCAACUUCGGCAACUACCCCAAGGGCGAGGACUUCGCGGCCGUGUUCGACGUGCUCGGCAACGGCAUCUUCAACGCCGACGGGGAUUCGUGGGCGUUCCAGCGGCGCAAGGCGCACGCGCUGCUCUCGGACGCGAGGUUCCGCGCCGCCGUCGCCGCGAGUACCGCCCGCAAGCUCGACGAGGGGCUCGUGCCGCUUCUCGACGGCGUCGCUGCCGGCGGCGCGGUCGUCGACCUCCAGGACGUGUUCAUGCGCCUGACGUUCGACCUCACGGCGAUGUUCAUAUUCGGUACGGAUCCCGGCUGCCUGGCCGCCGACUUCCCACGGGUGCCAUUCGCCGCGGCCAUGGACGAGGCCGAGGCGGUGCUGUUCUACAGGCACGUGACGCCCAUUGCCUGGCUGAGGCUCCAGACCUACCUAAACAUCGGCCAUCACAAGAAGAUGACCAAAGCUCAGCAGGUGCUGGACGCGUCUAUCGCCGAGUACGUCUCGCUACGGCGAGAGCGCGCUGCCAAUGCCGACACCAACGCCGACGGAAGCGACGCCGCUGAUCUUCUCUCGUUGUACAUGGCAUGCCAAGACGAGCUAGGCAAGGACGGAAACGAGCUCGAUCGGUUCUUGCGUGACACGACGCUGAACCUCAUGAUCGCCGGCCGCGACACGACGAGCUCCGCCCUGACAUGGUUCUUCUGGCUGCUCACCAACCACCCCGACGUCGAGGCCAAGAUCCUCGCCGAGCUCCGUGAGACCCUGUCGUCUGGCGGCCACCCCAGCGCCGCCGAUCUGAAGCGCCUGGUGUACCUGCACGCAGCCCUCUCGGAGUCGCUCCGACUGUACCCGCCGGUUCCGUUCGAGCACAAGGCGGGAGCGCGGCCAGACACGCUGCCGAGCGGGCCGGCCGUGUGGCCUACGAGGAGGGUGAUCGUGUCGUUCUACUCGAUGGGGCGCAUGGAGUCGGUGUGGGGCAAGGACUGUCUGGAGUUCCGGCCGGAGCGGUGGCUGACGGCGGCGGGGCGGCUCCGGCACGAGCCGUCGUACAAGUUCGUGGCGUUCAACGUGGGGCCCCGUACGUGCCUGGGAAAGGACCUGGCGUUCACGCAGAUGAAGGCCGUGGUUGCCGCCGUCCUGCCGCGGUUCAGGGUGGAGGUCGCCCCCGGUGCCGUGGUGAAGCCCAAGCUGUCCAUCAUACUCCACAUGAAGGACGGGCUCAAGGUGAGGGUUUACAAGAGGCAAGACGAUGCCCGCUAG